UCACUGGUAGCUCAGUGGGUAGAGCAUGAGAGUGUUAAUCUCAUGAUCGUAGGUUCGUGCCUCACGUUGAG
rnacentral:tRNA from 1 species